GGGAUCCGGCCUGAGAGGGUGAACGGACACACUGGAACUGAGACACGGUCCAGACUCCUACGGGAGGCAGCAGUAGGGAAUAUUGCUCAAUGGGGGAAACCCUGAAGCAGCAACGCCGCGUGGAGGAUGAAGGUUUUAGGAUUGUAAACUCCUUUUGUUAGAGAAGAUAAUGACGGUAUCUAACGAAUAAGCACCGGCUUAACUCCGUGCCAGCAGCCGCGGUAAUACGGAGGGUGCAAGCCGUUACUCGGAAUCACUGGGCGUAAAGAGCGCGUAGGCGGGAUAGUCAGUCAGGUGUGAAAUCCUAUGGCUUAACCAUAGAACUGCAUUUGAAACUACUAUUCUAGAGUGUGGGAGAGGUAGGUGGAAUUCUUGGUGUAG
rnacentral:rRNA from 1 species